rnacentral:rRNA from 1 species
GAGGAGCCUGCGGCGGAUUAGCUAGUUGGUAGGGUAACGGCUUACCAAGGCGACGAUCCGUAACCGGCCUGAGAGGGCGGUCGGUCACACUGACACUGACAUACGGGUCAGACUCCUACGGGAGGCAGCAGUCGGGAAUUUUGGGCAAUGGGCGAAAGCCUGACCCAGCAACGCCGCGUGAAGGAUGAAAUCCCUCGGGAUGUAAACUUCGCAAGAAUGGGAAGAAUGAGCGAGCGCUAAUACCGUUCGUGAUGACGGUACCAUUUGUAAGCUCCGGCUAACUCCGUGCCAGCAGCCGCGGUAAUACGGGGGGAGCAAGCGCUGUUCGGAUUUACUGGGCGUAAAGGGCGCGUAGGCGGUGUCGCAAGUCUCCUGUGAAAACUCCGGGCUCAACUCGGAGCCGGCAGGAGAAACUGCGGUGCUGGAGUGUGGGAGAGGUGAGUGGAAUUCCCGGUGUAGCGGUGAAAUGCGUAGAUAUCGGGAGG